CAGGGGAUAGUAUAAAAGUAUAUUUUACUUACAAUAAAAAGGUUAAACUCUGA
rnacentral:tRNA from 2 species